AUACUUACCUGGCAGGGGAGAUACCAUGAUCACAAAGGUGGUUUUCCCAGGGCGAGGCUUAUCCAUUGCACUCCGGAUGUGCUGACCCCUGCGAUUUCCCCAAAUGUGGGAAACUCGACUGCAUAAUUUGUGGUAGUGGGGGACUGCGUUCGUGCUUUCCCCUG
ensembl:snRNA U1 U1 spliceosomal RNA